UGGGGAAUAUUGCACAAUGGGGGAAACCCUGAUGCAGCGACGCCGCGUGAGCGAAGAAGGUUUUCGAAUCGUAAAGCUCUGUCCUAUGAGAAGAUAAUGACGGUAUCAUAGGAGGAAGCCCCGGCUAAAUACGUGCCAGCAGCCGCGGUAAUACGUAUGGGGCGAGCGUUGUCCGGAAUUAUUGGGCGUAAAGGGUACGUAGGCGGUCUAUUAAGUCAGGUGUGAAAGCGUGAGGCUUAACCUCAUUAAGCACUUGAAACUGAUAGACUUGAGUGAAGGAGAGGAAAGUGGAAUUCCUAGUGUAGCGGUGAAAUGCGUAGAUAUUAGGAGGAAUACCGGUGGCGAAGGCGACUUUCUGGACUUUUACUGACGCUCAAGUACGAAAGCGUGGGGAGCAAACAGG
rnacentral:rRNA from 1 species